CCCCUUAUUUUGUAUCUGAUCACUCUCUCCCAAUAACUACACUGUGUGCAGGAGGAUGCUACUCCAAAAAGGAAAUUGAUGAAGUAAGGAUAGAGUGGGCAGAAUUUGUAUGUAAAAUCACAGAUGAGUGAUGAUGGAUGGUGUAACUUGCUUGUUUUCGGUGUUUGCAGUUAUGUUUCAAUUAGUAGGAUGAUGAUGUUUGGAUUCUAAUGUAAUGUAGGAUGAUGAUGUUUGGAUUCUAAUGUAAUGUAGGUAUGAUGAUGUUGGAUUCUAAUGUAAUGUAUGGAUGAUGAUGUUGGAUUAUAAUCUAUGAAUUUUAUUAUUAAUUUAUGUAUUUUUAGCUUUU